rnacentral:rRNA from 1 species
GAUGAACGCUGGCGGCGUGCCUAACACAUGCAAGUCGAACGGAGAUUACGGACGGUUGCUCUCGGAUCGAUGGCUGUAAUUCUUAGUGGCGCACGGGUGAGUAACGCGUGGGCAACCUGCCCUAUACAGGGGGAUAGCAGCUGGAAACGGCUGGUAAGACCGCCUACGUCGGCGAGACCGCAUGGUCUUGCCGGGUAAUGAGCAGUCAGGUAUAGGAUGGGCCUGAGCUCGAUUAGCCAGUUGGCAGGGGAAAAGCCUACCAAAGCAACGAUCGGUAGCCGGACUGAGAGGUCGGGCGGACACAUUGGGACUGAGACGCGGCCGAGACUCCUACGGGAUGCAGCAGUGGGGGAUAGUGCAAAAUGGAGGGAGCGCUGAUGCAGCGACGACGCGUGAGUGAAGUAAUAUUUCAGGAUGUAAAGCUCAAGCAGCAGUGAAGGUGAUGACGGUACCUGACCAGGAAGCCCCGGCUAACUACGUG